rnacentral:rRNA from 1 species
UACGUAGGGGGCAAGCGUUGUCCGGAAUCAUUGGGCGUAAAGAGCGUGUAGGCGGCUCGAUAAGUCUGCUGUGAAAGUCCAGGGCUCAACCCUCGGAUGCCGGUGGAUACUGUCGGACUAGAGUGCGGAAGAGGCGAGUGGAAUUCCUGGUGUAGCGGUGAAAUGCGCAGAUAUCAGGAGGAACACCAAUUGCGAAGGCAGCUCGCUGGGACGUUACUGACGCUGAGACGCGAAAGCGUGGGGAGCAAACAGG